rnacentral:rRNA from 1 species
AACGAACGCUGGCGGCAUGCCUAACACAUGCAAGUCGAACGAGACCUUCGGGUCUAGUGGCGCACGGGUGCGUAACGCGUGGGAACCUGCCCUUAGGUUCGGCAUAACUCCCCGAAAGGGGUGCUAAUACCGGACAAUGUCUUCGGACCAAAGAUUUAUCGCCUUUGGAUGGUCCCGCGUUGGAUUCGCUAGUUGGUAGGGUAAAAGCCUACCAAGGCGACGAUCCAUAGCUGGUCUGAGAGGAUGAUCAGCCACACUGGGAGUGAGACACGGCCCAGACUCCUACGGGAGGCAGCAGUGGGGAAUAGUGGACAAUGGGCGAAAGCCUGAUCCAGCAAGGCCGCGUGAGUGAUGAAGGCCUUAGAGUUGUAAAGCUCUUUUACCCGGGAUGAUAAUGACAGUACCGGGAGAAUAAGCUCCGGCUAACUCCGUG